rnacentral:lncRNA from 13 species
CCUGCACCGAGUUAAAGGACUGCUUCUUUAUUUCCAAAUCUUCCAGCGAUACUUGGAAAAACUACUGGAAAUGUAUUUCAAAGUGGGAUUGUACCAAUCCUUCUGUUCUUUGAAAAACUGAAGACACCAGGAGAAUUGUUCUUUCUUUAUGCAGAGGAGGUGUUGCAUUUUAUAAUGAUGAUAUUGAAAGACAGACAGACAAGAAACGGAUAUCUUUCAAGAGCAUCUGGUCUGAAGAGAUCUGCCCAAGUGCAGUUAAAGUUAAUGAGAAAGAGGAGAGCAGAGAGCAGGGAUCCACAGGGCUGAGACACUGACAGUGCGAGGCGCUCAGGCUGGAGCUCCUGGGCAGCCUGGGCUGGAGGUCACAGUCUGCACAGAACAUGCCAUUCUUAUUGGGAGACCAUGGCUGUGCCACGGCGCAUCACAAGGAUCUGUCUGGUUCCAGUCAAGAACGCCAUUGUCUACUCACCACAAAAAUCACAGGAAAGAGGAAAAGAGCGUCUCCAGCAAUGUGAAAGCCCAAACAGAGGGGUUGCCUCAUGGAGGGAAGCAGUUGCGAUCACUCCAGUGCUCCAGAAAACACUUCAUUCCCAGCAAGGCAGCCCCUGGGUUUCCCUCAGCCUCUCAGCCAUGUUUCCUCCCUCUACCUGCCGGAGUCCAGCUGAAUGGCGGCUCCAGCCACACAGCGCAUUCAGGACAAUCUGGCUUCUGGCAGGUCGUUCUGAGAUACUCCAUAGACCAGCUGUGCCCCCAGCCACAUCGCUCAGAUAAGAAGGCACUUACUGAAUGCUCUGCCCAUAUGCAUCGCUUGACAUAGUCACCACAAGAACCCUGGAGGCUGAUGCCAUGAUUAUCUACACCUCACGGUGGAAGAGGCACAGUCGGGAAGGGGCAGAGCCUGCACUGGACUCCAGGCUUGGGAUGAACAAUGAGGAUUCAAUGGCUGUGCUGAAGAAGGUGUCAUUGAUAUUUGCUCAAUAAGCUUUAAUAAAGAGUGCUCUGGGGACA